UGCUGGCGGUGUGCCUUAGGCAUGCAAGUCGAACGGUAACGGCAAGAGCUUGCUCUUGGCCGACGAGUGGCAGACGGGUGAGUAACAGGUAGGAACCUACCCCUUGGUGGAGGAUAGCCAACCGAAAGGUUGGGUAAUACUGCAUAAUCCCUUACGGGCAAAGCAUUUAUGCGCCGAGGGAGGGACCUGCUUCCUAUCAGCUUGUUGGUGAGGUAAUAGCUCACCAAGGCUAUGACGGGUAGGGGGUGUGAGAGCACGGCCCCCCACAAGGUUACUGAGACACGGAGCCUACACCUACGGGUGGCAGCAACCGGGAAUAUUGCGCAAUGGACGAAAGUCUGACGCAGCGACACCGCGUGUGGGAUGAAGCAUUUCGGUGUGUAAACCACUGUGGCGAGGGAGAAUAAUGAUAGUACCUCGCUAGAAAGCACCUGCUAACUACGUGCCAGAAGCCUCGGCAAUACGUAGGGUGCAAGCGUUAUCCGGAUUUACUGGGCGUAAAGGGUUUCGCAGGCGGGCUGUUUAGUCAUGUUUGAAAGCCGACGGCUCAACCGUCGGACUGGACGUGAUACUGGCAGUCUUGAGGACAUCAGGGGAGAUCGGAAUUCUCGGUGGAGGGGUGAAAUCCGUUGAUAUCGAGAGGAACGUCGAUGGCGAAGGCAGAUCUCUGGGGUGUUCCUGACGCUCAUGUACGAAAGCUAGGGUAGCAAACGGGAUUAGAGACCCCGGUAGUCCUAGCCGUAAACGAUGGAUACUAGCUGCUCCGACUUGAUCGGGGUGGCGCAAGCUAACGCGUUAAGUAUCCCGCCUGGGUAGUACGGCCGCAAGGCUAAAACUCAAAGGAAUUGACGGGGGAGCGCACAACCGGUGGAGCAUGUGGUUUAAUUCGAUACAAAGCGUAAUACCUCACCUGGGUUUGACAUGUACCUGCACGCCCUAAGAAACUAGGGAAGCCUACGAGGGUGGUACACAGGUGCUGCAUGGCUGUCGUCAGCUCGUGUCGUGAGACGUCUGCUUAAGUGCAGUAACGAGCGCAACCCCUGCCGUAUGUUGAAUUGUUCAUGCGGGACUGCCUUACAGCAAGUAGGGAGGAAGGAGGGGACGACGUCAAGUCAGCAUGGCCCUUACACCCAGGGCUACACACAUCCUACAAUGGGGAAGACAACGGGUUGCGAUCCAGCAAUGGUUAGCUAAUCCUUCAAACUUUCUCUCAGUUCGGAUUGCGGGCUGAAAUUCGCCCGCAUGAAGUCGGAAUCGGUAGUAAUCGCAGGUCAGCAGACUGCGGUGAAUACGUUCUCGCUCCUUGUACACACUGCCCGUCAAGCCAGCAAAGUCGGCAGCGCCCGAAGCGGGUGACCGUAACCAGUUUACUGGAACGGCUCUUCUAAGGCGAGGUCGGCGAUGAGGACUAAGUCGUAACAAGG
rnacentral:rRNA from 1 species